UGCGUGUGCUGGAUGAUGUGUGUGCGCUGGAUGAUGUGUGUGUGAGUGCUGGAUGAUGUGUGUGUGUGUGCUGGAUGAUGUGUGUGUGUGUGCUGGAUGAUGUGUGUGUGUGCUGGAUGAUGUGUGUGUGUGCUGGAUGAUGUGUGUGUGUGCUGGAUGAUGUGUGUGUGUGCUGGAUGAUGUGUGUGUGAGUGCUGGAUGAUGUGUGUGUGUGAGUGUGUGCUGGAUGAUGUGUGUGUGUG